rnacentral:rRNA from 1 species
CUACGGGGGGCAGCAGUGGGGGAUAUUGCACAAUGGGGGAAACCCUGAUGCAGCAACGCCGCGUGAAGGAAGACGGUUUUCGGAUUGUAAACUUCUAUCAGCAGGGAAGAAAUUGACGGUACCUGACUAAGAAGCCCCGGCUAACUACGUGCCAGCAGCCGCGGUAAUACGUAGGGGGCAAGCGUUAUCCGGAUUUACUGGGUGUAAAGGGUGCGUAGGCGGUUAUUUAAGUCAGAUGUGAAAGCCCGAGGCUCAACCUCGGGACUGCAUUUGAAACUGGAUAACUAGAGUACAGGAGAGGAAAGCGGAAUUCCUAGUGUAGCGGUGAAAUGCGUAGAUAUUAGGAAGAACACCAGUGGCGAAGGCGGCUUUCUGGACUGUAACUGACGCUGAGGCACGAAAGCGUGAGGAGCGAACAGGAUUAGAUACCCUCGUAGUC